rnacentral:rRNA from 1 species
GUGGGGAAUCUUGCGCAAUGGGCGAAAGCCUGACGCAGCCAUGCCGCGUGAAUGAUGAAGGUCUUAGGAUUGUAAAAUUCUUUCACCGGGGACGAUAAUGACGGUACCCGGAGAAGAAGCUCCGGCUAACUUCGUGCCAGCAGCCGCGGUAAUACGAAGGGGGCUAGCGUUGCUCGGAAUUACUGGGCGAAAAGGGCGCGUAGGCGGACAGCUUAGUCAGAGGUGAAAGCCCAGGGCUCAACCUUGGAAUUGCCUUUGAUACUGGCUGUCUUGAGUUUGGGAGAGGUGAGUGGAACUCCGAGUGUAGAGGUGAAAUUCGUAGAUAUUCGGAAGAACACCAGUGGCGAAGGCGACUCACUGGCCCAAUACUGACGCUGAGGCGCGAAAGCGUGGGGAGCAAACAGGAUUAGAUACCCGAGUAGUCC